AUAAAAUCUGUAAAGGCAAAAGUUUUUAACCCUUUUCAGCUAAGUACUUAUUAGUGUUUGUUAGCAAUAUUAUGUUUUAUGUACAAUUGCAUUUGUAAAUAAACACAUUAAAUCACAUAUAAAAGUUUCAUAUGAUUUCAGUGUUAAAUAAGUAUUUUUGGUUUAAUUUUCUUAUUAGAAUUUCAUUUGUAUUUUGACGUUUUCAUAGUCUGCAUGUUUCAAAAGUAUGCAAAACGAAAAAAAAAUAUCGUUAAUAUAUUAUGUUCGCAACAAUAGACAAAUAGUGAAUGCCUUUAAAUUGACUAAUAGCAGAUAUGUGAAAAUAGUUAUUAAUUCACCACUUGGUUCUAGCAAAAGAAUUGUAAUAGAAGAAAUUAUGGGAAAUCGAUAUGCAACACUGCGUUUUGAGGACAUUGCAUACAAAAAAGCCGAAAAUAUACAUAUUCAUUUUUUCAGGCGUCUUUUCAGUGUAAUAGGAAGAAAAUUUUUAUAAAAAUACAAUUUUCUACUUGUGUCGAGCAAGAUUAAACGAUAAAUAUACUUUAGUUUUAUUGUAUCUUAAUUAGAGAAGAUAUUCAACAAUAUUUGCAUGAUUCUUUGUGCUAUUACAUAUAACCCAAUAUCUUGAGAAUUUCAACUUUCCUAAUUUUGUUAACGAGUUUUGCUAUAGUUUAAAACGCGUAAGAGUUUAAAACCAGUGAAUUGGAAAUUGUGCUAUUUUGUGAAAAUAUGAAUAUAAUUGCGGGAGAACCAGUACCGCCCGGUUUUGAGGAUGAAAUAAAUCGUGACCCCCAAAUCCAAAAGGCAAUUGAUCAAUACAAAGGCAAUGCUCUUGUUGGUCUUGAGUAUACACUUGAAUUGCACGAAGAUGACCGCCGUGAACCUGGUUACUUUUGUGUGCUUUGUGAUAAGCGUGGUGAUCCACGCACCAUAAUGCAACAUUGGACAUCUUACAAUCAUCGCCUAAAGUAUCUAGAGAAACAUUUCCCAACGGCGGUACGUGAAUUCAAUCCUGUCAAAUACAAACCGAAUUCGCAUCAGAUUCUUUUAAGCGUUGUGCAAAAAUUAUCUAAAGCUGUAGAAGAUCACCAUGGUCGUUUAAAGUUAAUGGUUGCCAAUAGCGAUGACUUUCGUCGUAUGAAAGCCAAAUUUGUUGGAGAAAUUAAUAAUAAAUUUCAUUUUGACGAACGAAAUGGUCCAAACUUUCUUGACGUGAUCGAUCGGUCUCUUUGGGAACCCAAUUCGAGCUCAACUACGAACAAAACAGAGCAAACAUUACAAAUAACUAUUAAAGCUCCGAAACGUAUAAUUGAAGACUUUCCAGUAAAAUCAAACCGCGACGACUUGGAUGAAAUUUCAAGUGACUCCGAUGGACCAUCAAAUUCGAAAAAAUUGAAAAAACGGGAACAAUCACCUGCUUAUAGAGUGUUGCCGCGGGUCCGACGCUCGCCGCCUUUCGAAGAAGAACGAAGCGAAGAUCGUAAGGAAGCUGAAAAGAAGCUCCCAACACCAAAAGAACUAUCGCUGCAGGCUUCGCAUAUUGCACAAGAAAAGUAUAAGUGGGAAAAAUAUAAGUGUAUGCUCGAAAUACAACUUAAACAAAUGGAAAAAAUUCAACAAGAUUAUGACAAGAACCCAGAAAAACAUCCUUUAUAUCCUGAUGAAUGGAAGAAAUUUUGGAACCGACGUUAUAAGGAGUUACAGAUGGAGAAGAAAACAGACCCGAAUAAAUACGAUUACAAACCUGAGUGGAUUGCUUUUUGGACUGAACGCAUGAAGGAUUUGUUCAACUCAGAAGUAGAAAAAAAGAAGAAAGAAAUUAAAGUUAAACUUGGUCUGCCAGAGAAUGCAGAGGAGAUGGUCGACCAGCUGAAGGAAAAAUACAAAGUACAUAUUGGUCGAAAUGCAGUAGGUAUAACAUCUGGAGGUCAUGUUUUAGGACCAAAGCUUUCUGAUCGUGGCCUUGACAUUGCCUCAAAACGUUCCAAAAAUUCAGGCGAUAUUAUUAAUAUAAGUGACGAUGAGUCACCGGUUCGCGGUAGAAAUCUCCGAACACGAACACAUUCUCGAUCGCAUUCUCGUUCGCGUCGUUCACGAUCCAAGUCGCCACGUAUCUCACGUGGUCGUGAUUAUAAGCGGUCACGUGAUCGUUCCUCAUCAUUAUCAAAAAGUCCACUUUCGGAUGAGUAUAAUGCAUAUCCCAUGCAUUCCCACCGUCAUCGCCAUCCAACACGAAAUUUUCCACCAUCCGUUGUUGAAAGUGAGUAUUUCAGUUCAUCAUAUCCACCACGCGGAAGAUUUUCAGCUGUAUCAACUUCUGCACAUUUUGGUGGAUCAUCACAUUAUCGAAUUCUCGAACCUCACCAAUAUCCAAAAUAUGAACGUUCACCAUCACCGAAUUCUAAAUCUGCAACAGCUAGAGAAGAAGCAGAGCCUGAAGACAAUGGACCACUCACGGUUGUAGCUGUACUGCGUUUGCUUACAGCACUUGAGGACCAUCUGGGCAGUCUUGGACCAAAAGUAGUUGAUUUGUUAGGCAAGGCUUUGGCAUUAGAGAAGGUGAAGGCCAAUUCUGCAGACGAUUUAUUGUUUAAUGAGGACCACGUUGUAUUUUUUGAAACUAUCAAAGAAAAAUUGAAAGGUAUAAUAAUCGCGGACGUCCUAGACGAUCAACAAAAAAUCAGAGCUGUAAAAAAAGCUAUACAAAAUAUUGCUACUGUAAUUCAUCAGGUUUCAACAAAAGGUAACUCAUCAAAUAAUAUUAACACUGAAGUUGCAAAAACUAACGAUAAAGGCGAAUCAGCCAUUAAAGUCAAGAAAUCAGACAGUUUUAGUAUUAAAGAUUUACCAUUCGACCGCCAAGUUAUUUCCACUAAAUUGGCUGCCGCUUUAGUCUUUCAAGGACGCGAGGAUGUAUCCACCGAGGAUAUGGAUAAGUUGAUUUUCAUAUUCCUUUUAUUCGUAAAAUUAUCGAAAGAAAAACGAGAAUUGGAUGGUAAAGCUUUACAACUUGCAGCUUUGCUAGCUCAAUUAGGUAUAUAUGUACCAUCGUCGUCAUCUACCACCUCUGCUGCAUUGGCUGCUUUCCCGACUAUUGUUGAAGACUUGAUGGAAAAUGAAAUAGGUACCGGGAAUGUUCGUGGCCACGUCAAUGAGAAUGAAGCUUCAAAUGAGACAGUUGAUAAAGAUGCAAAGAAUGAUGGUGCUAACAACAUGUUGGAAUCAUUAACGGACUCUGACCUACAAACACUAUUGCAAAACUUUAAGCACUUGUCGAGUGAGGAGCAACAUCAUUUGAUAGCACAUCUAAAGAAAUUGGAAACAGCUGACCCAUUACGUGUUGAGAAACUGAGAAAAUUUGUUAACCUGGCUGACCUAACUGAAGCUGCUUAUUCAUCACCCUCAGCUAGUACAAGUAAGUCCAAUCUCCGAGAAAGAUCGCGCACUCGUGAUAGUCGUUUUGAUGAGUCUCCAGUUACAAGUACUAACAAAGGACGUGGUCGUAUUUCCGAUGAUGACGAUGAUGAUCGACGUCGUGGUGCUAGUGUUUCGAAUCCAAAUAGAUUUAGUCUUGAUGAUGAAGACGAAGAUGAUGAUUAUAAUGUAGAUGAUGUGUUUAAGGCGGCAUUCCGAAAAGUAAGUGAUAAUUCACGUCAAUCUAAAGGAGAAUCUAUGUUAAGCCUUGAAAAAAAGAAGCCGGCUCCUGUACAAGCUCCAGCGCCUAUUAUUCCGGUAUCGUCAUCACCGAAUGCAUUGACAUUUAAUCGUGCUGGUCUUAAUAUAUCACUGAGCGAUACACAAAAUUUAAUUGCCAAUUUGAUGGGCUCAUUGCAACAAAGUAAUUCAAAUCAGAAAACUAAUACUAAAUCGACACACACAAAUGAUGGGAAAGGACAACAGAUACCGACUAGGUCCAAUGUACCAAGUGUGCCCAAAGUUCCGAAAAAUCAAGCAAUGCAACAACAGACACACCCAUCAAUACAGCCAACUACUAUGCCCUACUAUCAACAAGGUCAACCGUCACAGCCGCAAGCUUAUCCUGGCGGUAGUGGCUAUCAACAGAUGGGUGGAAUGAAUAAUAAUCAAUCAUAUUACAACUCGAUGGGCUACAAUAACAACAGCGGGCCUGGUUACCCGGGCUAUCAACAAUGGGGUAUGGGAGAUGGUCAGCAGUUCGGUAUGCAAAAUUUCAUGGGGCAACAACCACAAGGAUCACAGCAAAAUAUGGGUUACAAUAAUAUGUAUGGUCAAGGUCCACAUUAAUUUUCGCAAGCAUUUAAAUAUCGCAUAAGAAUAAAAAAAAAUUACGUCUCGUCUCUCUCGGAUAGCUAAAAAACUUGGAAAAUGAAAACUUUAUGUCCAAUACUAAUCGUAAAAUGUUUCAAAUAAAAUAAUAUUGUACACGUACGAGUUCUAUCAAAUGUAUGUACCAUCUAUACUUUAUGUCUAUUGCAAUAUGAAUUUUUUCCUAUGAAGAUAGGGAUUAAGUUUUUAAAUACUUUUCAUCUUACGCAUUGGGAUUUAAUUAAAUUAUUAGAUAAGAAAAUCUUAAUUGUAAUUGAACUUUCGGUCAAAGGGGUUUAUGCUCAAGCUCGUAAUAUUAAUAUACGCGCUUUUAUUUUUUUUGAUUUCGUAUAAAAAUAUGGGCCGCUUUGCAGCCAAAAUCUGGUUUAUUUUAUUCUUUAGGAAAAAUUCAAAUGCCUGAAUAUUAUGUAUAUGAGAAACACUGCUUUUAAAUCUAAUUGCUGGUAAAUACAGCUUCGGGGUGAAAUAUAUUAAUAAAUGCAGACUUUCUUUAAUGUUUACAAAUAUGGAGACGCACGGUAAGUACAAAAUAAGUUAUAAAAAUAUAUAGACCUAAAAAUUCAAAGAAAGUUGAAAUUGUGUCUUGGAAACCCAUAAGUACCCGAAUAAUUUUGAACAUAAUUUGAAUCUGUAAUUUUGAAAUUAUCAUUGCAUUUCCUUUUAGCAUAUUGGGUAUAUACAUAAAUAAAUAAAUUGUAAAUCGAUUUCAAUAUCGCCUCAAAAUUGCACGUGAGGUAUCCUAAUAAAUCUUGGUUUUUACCUAUCGCUUUAAGCUUCUAUUACAAUUUUGAGUGUUUAGCCUGACAUUACUUUUAGCACAUACAUACAUAUUUGUUUUAAGUGUAUGGAUCACAAUAAUAAAUACUGAUGUAAAAUAGAAUAUUUAUCAUUUGUACUUUUAAUUUUAUAUAAAGUGUUAUAAGAAUAUUGACAAUGCAAUGCCGUAACAACAAAAGAACUACCCAGAAACGUAAAAUAACUCAUGCACCUUCACCUACUGCUGAGGAAGAAGUUGAGAAUGUGGAGUAUUUGGAUGAAUGUGUCACGGACGAAAUCGAAGAAGUUAGUGGAAGUGCACACAACAAUCUCCCACAGGGAUUUAUUAAAUCGGAAACUGCGUUUGAGGAUACAUUUUAUCCAAAUGCUGUUCACUGCCUUAUAGCUCUUUACCGCGAUAAAUAUGAAAGGAAUAUGAAAGAUCCUAAAGAAAUUCAAAGUAUAUACGAAAGCGUCUGGGAAGCCAUUUCUAAAGAUAUGCGCGAGAGCUAUUUUGAGUUUGACGCUCAACAAGUGCGCCACAAGUUCACACAGCUUCGUCAACAAUAUUUUAAUGUUUCCUCCAAAAAAGAAGCAGAAGAAUUUGUUUUCUUUCAACCACUACACGAAAUUUAUAAUGAUAAAUUAAUUACAAUUACGGUGAAUAAUGAAAAGUUCUCUUCACGUAAAAGUAAACACAUACGGAUAUAUCGAGAUGAUGUACUCUUCAACUCACGUAUUGAAACUGAGACGCGUGCCACUGAAGAAAGGCCACAACAAACAGAAGAAAUCAUAGAAAAAGGCCCGAACAGACUAGUAGAUUGUGAUGUAGAUUCACUAGUUACAAAGGAUAAGAAUGAACAAAGCGAAUUAAACGAAAUUCCGGUCAUAAAUUUGGAAUACUCAAAGAGAAGGAUUCCUGAUACAGAAUCCGACGAGAUAUCAAAUUCAAAACGGAAAACAGACGAUUUCAAUAGUGAAAGGCUUAAUAUGACACUUGCAGAUUACAAUGAAGCUCAACAGCGAAGGCAUGAAGAAAAAAUGAGCUUGUUGAGGCAAACACUUUUAUUACAAGAACGAGCUUUAGAUAUACAGAAUAAACUGUUGGAUGAAAUUGUUAAGAGAAUCAAAUGAACUCCAAGUAUCCUACAAUCUCAUUGCGAAACUAUGUAGAAUUCUUUCAAAUAAAUAGAUCUCAAUAGUA